rnacentral:rRNA from 1 species
AUUGAACGCUGGCGGCAGGCCUAACACAUGCAAGUCGAACGGUAGCACAGAGAGCUUGCUCUCGGGUGACGAGUGGCGGACGGGUGAGUAAUGUCUGGGAAACUGCCCGAUGGAGGGGGGUAACUACUGGAAACGGUAGCUAAUACCGCAUAACGUCGCAAGACCAAAGUGGGGGACCUUCGGGCCUCACACCAUCGGAUGUGCCCAGAUGGGAUUAGCUAGUAGGUGGGAUAAUGGCUCACCUAGGCGACGAUACCUAGCUGGUCUGAGAGGGUGACCAGCCACACUGGAAGCGGGCCACGGUCCAGACUCCUACGGGAGGCAGCAGUGGGGAAUAUUGCACAAUGGGCGCAAGCCUGAUGCAGCCAUGCCGCGUGUAUGAAGAAGGCCUUCGGGUUGUAAAGUACUUUCAGCGGGGAGGAAGGCGGUGAAGUUAAUAGCUUCACCGAUUGACGUUACCCGCAGAAGAAGCACCGGCUAACUCCGUGCCAGCCGCCGCAGUAA